rnacentral:rRNA from 1 species
UACGUAGGGGGCAAGCGUUGUCCGGAAUCAUUGGGCGUAAAGAGCGUGUAGGCGGCCAGAUAAGUCCGCUGUGAAAUCUCGAGGCUCAACUUCGAGCUGUCGGUGGAAACUGUCUGGCUAGAGUCCGGAAGAGGAGAAUGGAAUUCCUGGUGUAGCGGUGAAAUGCGCAGAUAUCAGGAAGAACACCCGUGGCGAAAGCGGCUCUCUGGAACGGUACUGACGCUGAGACGCGAAAGCGUGGGGAGCGAACAGG